rnacentral:lncRNA from 1 species
AUACAGGGUCUCCCUAUGUUGCUCAAGCUGGUCUCAAACUUCUGGGCUCAAGUGAUUCUCUUGCCUCUGCCUCCCAAAGUGCUGAGAUUACAGGCACAAGCCACUGCGCCCUGCCAUCCCAUGAAUAUUUCAGCUGGAGCAGACAACAGCUUCAAGUUGAUACUCAGUGUACUCAACAAGCAGUAUGGUACCAGCCCCGGCCAAUCAGAACAGACGCCGACCCAUAAGAAAGACCCUGUCCCACCUGCUGAAUGAGUGCGUGCCAGCUGAACAUCAGCGUGGCUUCGUUCUUCAACACAUUUACAAAAG